AUGGGACCGCCUGAGGUGUCAAUCUCUCCUGACCCCGCCCCUGAACCACACCGGGCAGAGCCACGGCACUUGGCCAAUCACAACGAGCCACCGCCGCCAGGUGAGAUGGAGGCGGGGCCUUACAUGGUGUCAGAGCCACCAAUCAGAUCAGCCGACAGCGGACCUCAGGGAUACCACAUGCCUAUGAUUGGUCACCCUCCACCCAUAAGGCCCUCCCACCCAUCAGGUCCACCUCCACAGCCCUCCCAUUCCCACAGAGGAGGACCCAGACCACCUUGGGACAGACCCUACAGACCUCUUUCUGACCACGUUCCCCCCCCACGCCACACCCUUCCUUCCGCCCCGGGCCCAGCCCCUCACCUCUACCCGGGCCCUAACCUCUACCACCCUCCACCCAACCCCCACUCCAUCCCGCCCCAGUCCUACCCCCCUCCCUACUCCACCGGACCCCCUCCCCCUGUUAACUACCCCCCUCAGCCCCUCUACACACACGGCCAGAUGCCUCCGGGGGUUAAUGCCCCCUGGGUUCCCCCUCCCANNNNNNNNNNUGAGCUUUCUCUCUGAUUGGUUUCCCAGGGAUACCACAUGCCUAUGAUUGGUCACCCUCCACCCAUAAGGCCCUCCCACCCAUCAGGUCCACCUCCACAGCCCUCCCAUUCCCACAGAGGAGGACCCAGACCACCUUGGGACAGGUACGACACUGAUCACACGGGACUAUAGAAUAUAGAGGUCAUAACAGGGUUACUGUAGAAUACAGGACUAUAGAAUAUAGAGGUCAUAACAGGGUUACUGUAGAAUACAGGACUAUAGAAUAUAGAGGUCAUAACAGGGUUACUGUAGAAUACAGGACU
rnacentral:lncRNA from 13 species